ensembl:snRNA U6 U6 spliceosomal RNA
GUGUUCACUUUGGGAACACAUAUACUAAUAUUGGAAUAAUUCACAUGGCUUCUGCACAAGGAUAACAUGCAUGAUAAAUCAUGAAGAUUUCAUAUUU